rnacentral:rRNA from 1 species
AUUGAACGCUGGCGGCAUGCCUUACACAUGCAAGUCGAACGGUAACAGGUCUUCGGAUGCUGACGAGUGGCGAACGGGUGAGUAAUACAUCGGAACGUGCCUAGUAGUGGGGGAUAACUACUCGAAGGAGUGGCUAAUACCGCAUGAGAUCUACGGAUGAAAGCAGGGGAUCGCAAGACCUUGUGCUACUAGAGCGGCCGAUGGCAGAUUAGGUAGUUGGUGGGAUAAAAGCUUACCAAGCCGACGAUCUGUAACUGGUCUGAGAGGACGAUCAGCCACACUGGGACUGAGAAACGGCCCAGACUCCUACGGGAGGCAGCAGUGGGGAAUUUUGGACAAUGGGCGCAAGCCUGAUCCAGCAAUGCCGCGUGCAGGAUGAAGGCCUUCGGGUUGUAAACUGCUUUUGUACGGAACGAAAAGCCCCGGGUUAAUACCCUGGGGUCAUGACGGUACCGUAAGAAUAAGCACCGGCUAACUACGUGCCAGCCGCCGCGGUAA